CAGGGCCUCUGUCCUUUGAGGGCCGCUCGGGCCCUGGUGGGUGCCUGGGGCAUCACGUGAGGGCGGGGGCGUCCGGAGUUUCCCGGGCUGACUUUUUCCAAACCGGACUCACGUGUCAGUGUGAGUAGAGAGUUGGAGGAGAAAUGAGCCCUCUCAUCAGCCAGGAGGCAGAGACAGCGCUUUACCUUUGCUUUUCCUCCUGCGUCAGCACGGUCACAUGGUUCUCGUUUCUGGAGACGCGUGGUCGGUCAUUUGGCUUUCGAUAAGGUGGACAGUGGGAGCAACUGGGAACUGUUUUUGCAAAAUGAAGUUGAAGAGCCAGUGAGUUUCUUGACAUACCACACGAAAACUGUCUUUUCCUCCUCCUCUCUCAUGGUAGAUGUGCAAAGAGAGUAGCCAUUGGCAAGGAAGUUCACGUCUGACUUGAGGGAGCUGCCUCGUGGGGCAGAAUGGCUCCUGCCUGUGUGCCUUCUGUCCCUCCUGCCCCCUCAGGAAGGGCUGACAUACAGGAGCAGGUCACCCGGGGGUCGGGGGGGGGGGACUGGUGGCCCCCUCGCGCUUCCUGCCAGAGGGAUCCGGGCUGGGGCAGGCUUGCUGUCGGUGUCUGCUCUGCUCUGUGUGACCCAUUCAGACUGACGUCGGCGCCACGCUGCGGCAGGGGUGAGCUGUGGCCUUUUCCCUGCCCAACAGAACUUUUGAGAGGAAGGUUCUGGACCCAGGACCUGACCUGAGCGCCGACUCCCGUCGCUGGCAGAGAGGACGCUUGUGUUUCCGUUCCUUUGCACAGCCACCUUACGGACCGGGCCUGGAGACUCUUCCUGCCUCACUCGCAUAGCGUUGGGGCUGAAACCAGACCCAGCCUUUGUCACCCACCCUCCUGCAGAUGGGAUGGAGGGAGGGCCGGCUCUUGGUGGGUUGCUGGGCUCCAUGUCCAGAUAGUCAGGGCUUCACCGACAGAGUGUAUAACUGUGUCUGGAAACGCAGGGCCUUCCUGUUGGAUUUCCUGCCUACGUUCUCGCGUUUACUCUGGUCAGUGUUUAUGUGGUCUGUGUCCCAGCUGCGGGCAGGCGGUGAGGGCAGGUUUCCAGACAGCGACACCACCGCCUCUCGUCCACGUGCCCUGCAGUGACCUGCCCUCCCCAGCAGGAGGCGGCGCCCGAGCCCCCUCCCUUGGAUUCAGGCCUGUGUCAGGAGCGGACACUCACUUGGGGAAGGCUGAGCUGCCUCCCCCGGGGCAGGCGCCCUGGAUGCUGUAAGGAGCCCUCACCCACAGCCAUUCUCGCCGAGGUGCUCUGGUCCAGGUCAAGCCUGGCUUCGUGCCCCCCCCCCCCCCAUCCAGGUGCCCAGAUGACCAAAUGGUUGGUCAUUUACGGAGGAAAGGAGGGGCUGCAUGUGGCUUCUCCCUGGGGGAGGAAACCCCACGCCCCAGCGGAGGCAGGUUUAUCUCAAGGGACCUAAAGAUAUUUCUCUUCUUUUUCUGUGGCAAAUUUUAACCUCUACCCUACUGCGUGGAAGCUGAGAUUCACCCUUGCUGUGUGUUUAGAAAAGGGUGGGGUGAAGGGCCAGUUAACUGCUUUGUGGGUGCUGAGUUCUUUUCCGGCCAGGUGUUUGGGGGAGAGCUUGAGAGUGCCCCUCGCUUAGGGAAGCCCGCUGGGCCUGCCACCCACCUGCCGCUCUGCCCUGGCAAUGGGCACGUGGGCCACGCUGGGAAGAAGCGAGUAGCAUUUUGUAGAUAGCCAGCCAUUCCCACGAACAUUUGCUCUAAGUGAGGUGGACGUUUUUCAAAUGAAAUUUGAAGGACAAACGCCAAUGACUUUGCCAACUAAAGAUUCCUGCCCGCGGGGUGUGUGCGGUGGGCGGGCACAGAGCAGGGCACAGUUGGUCGUGGUGGGGGCCGGACAGCUGGGUUUCCCCAGGGUGGCCCCUGUGGGUGGCCUGCUGUAUGUGCACGUGGCCUGAGGUGGGCCACCGCUCUGUGUGUGGCACACCGAGUUCUCCGGGGCUGGCGCUUCCCUGCCUCCCUCUCCUGCCUCGCUCUCUCUGGGGGACCGUCCCGGUUCUCCUGUGUGGAGGGGCCUGCUCCCUGUUUGGAUGUUGUCCUUCCUGCUUCCAAACUCUGGCUUGGAAAGACACUUGCCCUGAAUUGGCGCGUCCUGGUAGGAGCGCCGGUGUCCCGUCCUUGUGACGCUUCACGUACGAGCCGCUCCUCGUAGGCCCCAGACCACGGACUCUGAGUCUGCUCUCGUCAGCUCUCGUCCUGAGCCGGCGGGAGGUGGAGUGAGGUCUCGGAGGUGCAGAGUGGCUUUGACUGGGCGCCGUGGGCCGAAAGGGGAGUGGGGGCCCCAGCGUCGGCGUGCUGCUCUCGGGGGGCCUGGCCGGGAGCAGGUGCAUGUGCAGAGAGGCAGGGAGGGGAGAGCGCAGGGGUGGCUGGCCGACCCCGUGGGAGGAAGGAGGGCUGGGGGCACUCGAGUCAGGAGCGUUGACUGAGACCGUGGGGGGGUGAGAGCGGCCACGUGGGUUCCCGGCCAGGGGAGGGCGCGGGCGUCCGGGAGCCGUUCCCGACGGGGCCCGUGUGUGCGAGUCCGCCUCUCCCCGUGGAGAAGGGUGUGCGCCGCCCUGGAGGGGAGCCCCGUGCAGGCCCCCGGCUGGCUUCCCAGGCCCUGCUGUGCAGGCGGGCCCGGCUCGAGUAUGCUGCACGCAUACCCCUCGGGUCGGGGUCUCUGCUCCAGCUCGUGGCCUGUUUUCCUCGGACGCCCUCGUGGCAAUCUGAGGGUUCCUUAGAUAACAGCAGGAAACAAGCUGUCUGUCCUUGUGUCCUUUCCCCUGGUUCUCUCU